AACGAACGCUGGCGGCAGGCCUAACACAUGCAAGUCGAGCGCCCCCUUUCAGAGGUCAGAUUUCAGAUGCCGGAUGUCAGAAGCGCUGUGCGUGGAUCACGCGCGGUGCGUUUCUGAUAUCUGUCAUCUGACCUCUGACCUCUGAUGGGGGGAGCGGCGGACGGGUGAGUAACGCGUGGGAAUUUUCCUCAAGGUAGGGAACAACUCAGGGGAAACUGGGCUAAUACCCUAUGAUGCAGAGAUGCCAAAGAUUUA
rnacentral:rRNA from 1 species